rnacentral:rRNA from 1 species
CACGUAGUUAGCCGUGGCUUUCUCACAGAGUACCGUCACUUUCUUCUUCCUCUGCGACAGAAGUUUACAACCCGAAGGCCGUCAUCCUUCACGCGGCGUUGCUGCGUCAGGGUUUCCUCCAUUGCGCAAUAUUCCCCACUGCUGCCUCCCGUAGGAGUCUGGGCCGUGUCUCAGUCCCAAUGUGGCCGAUCAACCUCUCAGUUCGGCUACUGAUCGUCGACUAGGUGGGCCGUUACCCCGCCUACUAUCUAAUCAGACGCGAGUCCAUCUGUAAGCGAUAAAUCUUUCAAAGCUUCCCCAUGCGGAAAAACUUCAAUAUGCGGUAUUAGCACAGAUUUCUCUGUGUUAUCCCCCUCUUACAGGCAGGUUACUCACGCGUUACUCACCCGUCCGCCGCUCUCCACAAAAGACUUCACCCCGAAGGGAUCAGUCUCUUGUUUCCCGCUCGACUUGCAUGUGUUAGGCACGCCGCCAGCGUUCGUCCUGAGCCAGGAUCAAACUCUC